rnacentral:rRNA from 1 species
CCUACGGGUGGCAGCAGUGGGGAAUAUUGGACAAUGGGGGGAACCCUGAUCCAGCCACGCCGCGUGUGUGAAGAAGGCCCUCGGGUUGUAAAGCACUUUCAGUGAGGAAGAACGCCUGGUGGUUAAUACCCAUCAGGAAAGACAUCACUCACAGAAGAAGCACCGGCUAACUCCGUGCCAGCAGCCGCGGUAAUACGGAGGGUGCGAGCGUUAAUCGGAAUUACUGGGCGUAAAGCGCGCGUAGGUGGCUUGAUAAGCCGGUUGUGAAAGCCCCGGGCUCAACCUGGGAACGGCAUCCGGAACUGUCAAGCUAGAGUGCAGGAGAGGAAGGUAGAAUUCCCGGUGUAGCGGUGAAAUGCGUAGAGAUCGGGAGGAAUACCAGUGGCGAAGGCGGCCUUCUGGACUGACACUGACACUGAGGUGCGAAAGCGUGGGUAGCAAACAGGAUUAGAUACCCUAGUAGUC